rnacentral:tRNA from 1 species
GCCGAGGUAGCUCAGUUGGUAGAGCAUUGCACUGAAAAUGCAAGGGUCGUCAGUUCAAGUCUGACCCUCGGCA